UACGGGGGGAGCAAGCGUUGUUCGGAUUUACUGGGCGUAAAGCGCACGUAGGCGGGUCGUUAAGUCAGGGGUGAAAUCCCAGAGCUCAACUCUGGAACUGCCUUUGAUACUGGCGACCUAGAGUUCGGAAGAGGUUAGUGGAAUUCCCAGUGUAGAGGUGAAAUUCGUAGAUAUUGGGAAGAACACCAGUGGCGAAGGCGGCUAACUGGUCCGAUACUGACGCUGAGGUGCGAAAGCGUGGGGAGCAAACAGG
rnacentral:rRNA from 1 species